AGGGAGAGCCCAGCACCGAAUCCCGCGGCCGCUCUCGGUCGCCGGGAAAUGUGGUGUUAGGGAGGGUCCGUCAUCCCGAGGUCGUGCGGUGCGUUCAAGUCCUUCUUGAACGGGGCCACUUACCCACAGAGGGUGCCAGGCCCGUAGCGACCGCCGCCGACAGCGGGAGGAUCUCUCCUCAGAGUCGGGUUGCUUGAGAGUGCAGCCCUAAGCGGGUGGUAAACUCCAUCUAAGGCUAAAUACAACCACGAGACCGAUAGCGAACAAGUACCGUGAGGGAAAGUUGAAAAGAACUUUGAAGAGAGAGUUCAAUAGUACGUGAAACCGUUCAGGGGUAAACCUGAGAAACCCGAAAGGUCGAAUGGGGAGAUUCAGCGCGUCUCGUCCGCCCGCGAGUGGUGACCGCGCGACGGUCGACGUCCGCGUCGACCGCGCCGUUCUCCUCCGCGUAUCGGGUGGCGAACGCGUGCACUUCUCCCCUAGUAGGACGUCGCGACCCGUUGGGCGCAGGUCUGAGUAACGAGGUGGAGGCCGAGUGGCGCCCUUGCGGGCUUCCGUUCGGACCCUCGUCCGCCGGCCUGCUCGCCCGACGGUACGACAGUGGCGCGGGGCCGCGAUUCACUUCGCGUCCGACCCGUCGCAAGUGCGAACGUGACUCAUCCGCGGAUGUGUCGGACUCCUGUGCCGCCUCCCGGACCGUUCGACUGCUGGCGGCGGUGUCCUCGGACAGACCCCGAAAACACACACACACACGCCGGUCGGCGACGCUUUAGCUUUGGGUACUUUCAGGACCCGUCUUGAAACACGGACCAAGGAGUCUAGCAUGUGCGCGAGUCAUUGGGACCGUUGCGAAACCUAAAGGCGAAAUGAAAGUGAAGGCCGCCUUGCGUGCGCGCCGAGGGAGGAUGCGCCGGACGACGAUCCGGCGCCCCACUCCCGGGGCGUCUCGUGCUCAUCGCGAAGCUAGGCGCACCC
rnacentral:rRNA from 1 species